AUCGCUUCUCGGCCUUUUGGCUAAGAUCAAGUGUGGAAUACAGAACAAAGUUUCCUCAAAAAAUUAAAAAUAGAACUACCAUUUGAUCAAGAAAUCCUACUUCUGGGUAUAUAUCAUCCAAAAGAAAUGAGACAGGAUGUCAAAGAAUAUAUCUGUAUUCCCAUAUUCACUGCAUAUUCAAGGUAAC